AUGGUCUAGCUAGUCCAAUCAGCAAAAUGAAUUUUAGUUUAAUUCCCCGAAACUAGGUGAGCUACUUCGAAAUAGCCAUAAGAGCUGACCCGUCUCUGUUGCAAAAGAGUGGGAAAAUUUCCAAGUAGAGGUGAUAAGCCUACCGCACCAAGAGAUAGCUGGUUACUCAAGAAAAGAAUUUUAGUUCUACCUCAAGUUUUUUAGAUUUAAUAAACCCCAGCUAAACUUAAGAGCUAUUCCCAUAGGGCACAGCUUAUUUGAAAAAGGAUACAACCUAUUAUAUUGGGUAAUUAAUUAAGAAAAACUGUUAAGUAGGCCUAAAAGCAGCCAUCUUUCAAAAAGCGUUAAAGCUUUACUCUUAUUCUUUAAAAUAACUUUACCACUUUCCAACCCUUUAUUAAUAUUGAGUAACUCCAUAAAAAUAUGGAAGAUAUAAUGCUAGAACUAGUAACAAGAAGUAGAGCUUCUCCAAAAUGUAAGCCUAAGCCACCUUAGACACCCUAAUGGCAAUUAACGUUUAUGAGUCAAUUUUACUAACACCACAAGAAAACCCUAAAUACCCCAACGUUAAACUUACACUAGAACAUUUAUUGAAAGACCAAAAGAAAAAGAAGGAACUCGGCAAAUAUAUACC
rnacentral:rRNA from 1 species